rnacentral:rRNA from 1 species
GAUGAACGCUGGCGGCGUGCCUAAUACAUGCAAGUCGAGCGAACGGACGAGAAGCUUGCUUCUCUGAUGUUAGCGGCGGACGGGUGAGUAACACGUGGAUAACCUACCUAUAAGACUGGGAUAACUUCGGGAAACCGGAGCUAAUACCGGAUGAUAUUUUGAACCGCAUGGUUCAAAAGUGAAAGACGGUCUUGCUGUCACUUAUAGAUGGAUCCGCGCUGCAUUAGCUAGUUGGUAAGGUAACGGCUUACCAAGGCAACGAUGCAUAGCCGACCUGAGAGGGUGAUCGGCCACACUGGAACUGAGACACGGUCCAGACUCCGACGGGAGGCAGCAGUAGGGAAUCUUCCGCAAUGGGCGAAAGCCUGACGGAGCAACGCCGCGUGAGUGAUGAAGGUCUUCGGAUCGUAAAGCUCUGUUAUUAGGGAAGAACAUAUGUGUAAGUAACUGUGCACAUCUUGACGGUACCUAAUCAGAAAGCCACGGCUAACUACGUG